rnacentral:rRNA from 1 species
UACGUAGGGUGCGAGCGUUAAUCGGAAUUACUGGGCGUAAAGCGUGCGCAGGCGGUUCGCCAAGUCAGGUGUGAAAUCCCCGGGCUUAGCCUGGGAAUUGCGCUUGAAACUAGCGGGCUUGAGUGUGGCAGAGGGGGGUGGAAUUCCACGUGUAGCAGUGAAAUGCGUAGAGAUGUGGAGGAACACCGAUGGCGAAGGCAGCCCCCUGGGUCAACACUGACGCUCAUGCACGAAAGCGUGGGGAGCAAACAGG